AUUGAACGCUGGCGGAAUGCUUUACACAUGCAAGUCGAGCGGCAGCGCGGGACUCAGGCAACUGAGCCCUGGCGGCGAGCGGCGAACGGGUGAGUAAUGUAUCGGAACGUACCCCGUCGUGGGAGAUAACUAGCCGAAAGGUUAGCUAAUACCGCAUACGACCUGAGGGUGAAAGCGGGGGACUCCAAGGGUAACUGAGGAGCCUCGCGCGAUGGGAGCGGCCGAUAUCGGAUUAGCUAGUUGGUGGGGUAAAGGCUCACCAAGGCGACGAUCCGUAGCGGGUCUGAGAGGACGACCCGCCACACUGGAACUGAGACACGGUCCAGACUCCUACGGGAGGCAGCAGUGGGG
rnacentral:rRNA from 1 species